CGGCCCCGCGCGCCCCUGGGGGCGGGGCGGGGGCGGCUCUGCGGCGCCCCCCCCCAAUCACCCCCCCUCGUUCUACCUCCCUCAGGUCCUCUUCGGCGUGCCCCGCUGUCGGUGGGGUGGGCGGCCGUGAGGGAAAAAGAAAUGCAAGUCUGAGUGAUUCAAGAUGAGAAAUGGCUAAGCAGCACAUUGAAGACUCUAGUUCGGUUCAGCAUCUGCCCAAGGCCCGGGGAAAUGCUUUGGCUCAGCUGCCUUCAAUUUGUCUUCAUCACCAUCAUUAAUACUUAUUUCCUCACUGGAAUGAAAGCCGGGAUGGUACUCGCUGGGUGAAUACUCCGGCACAAAAGCUGCAGUGACUCAUCCAUCCCCUGAUGCCAUUACGAGGCACGGAAGAGCUCACACACGCUGUGCCUCCGAGCUGUUU
rnacentral:lncRNA from 1 species